GCGAUACCGCGAAUGGCUCAAUAUAUCAGUUUUGGUUCCUUAGAUCUUACUCAGUUACUUGGAUAACUGUGGCAAUUCUAGAGCUAAUACAUGCAAUCAGAACUCUGACCAGUGAUGGAAUGAGUGCUUUUAUUAGAUCAAAACCAAUCGACGGGGACGUUCGCGUUCGAAGUCGUUCAUUUUGAUGAAUCUGGAUAACUUUUGCAGAUCGCAUGGUCUCGUACCGGCGACGCAUCUUUCAAUGUCUGCCUUAUCAACUUUCGAUGGUAGUUUCUGCGACUACCAUGGUUGUCACGGGUAACGGGGAAUCAGGGUUCGAUUCCGGAGAGGGAGCCUGAGAAACGGCUACCACAUCCAAGGAAGGCAGCAGGCGCGCAAAUUACCCACUCCGGCACGGGGAGGUAGUGACGAAAAAUAACGAUACGGGACUCUUACGAGGCCUCGUAAUCGGAAUGAGUACACUUUAAAUAUUUUAACGAGGAACAAUUGGAGGGCAAGUCUGGUGCCAGCAGCCGCGGUAACUCCAGCUCCAAUAGCGUAUACUAAAAUUGUUGCGGUUAAAAAGCUCGUAGUUGCAUUUGUGCGCHGCGCUGUCGGUGCCUCCGCGGUGAUACUGACACGUUUGCGGAGCAUAUCGUCGGUGAG
rnacentral:rRNA from 1 species